rnacentral:rRNA from 1 species
GAUGAACGCUGGCGGCGUGCCUAAUACAUGCAAGUCGAACGGAGUUGUUGUAGCAAUACGGCAACUUAGUGGCGAACGGGUGAGUAACGCGUUGGUGACCUGCCCCGAAGAGAGGGAUAACAGUCCGAAAGGCUUGCUAAUACCUCAUGUGGUUACCGGCUUUAGACUCCGGCAACUAAAGUCGUAAGACAGUUUGGGAGGGACCUGCGUCCCAUCAGCUAGUUGGUAAGGUAACGGCUCACCAAGGCGACGACGGGUAGGGGACCUGAGAGGGUGGACCCCCACAAUGGCACUGAAACACGGGCCAUACACCUACGGGUGGCAGCAGUAGGGAAUAUUGAUUAAUGUGCGAAAGCGCGAAGCAACAACGCCGCGUGUGCGAUGAAGGCCUUCGGGUCGUAAAGCACUUUUUAGAGGGAUGAGAAAGGACAGUACCUCUAGAAUAAGCCUCGGCUAACUACGUGCCAGCAGCCGCCGUAAUAC